UGGGCUGGUGCAAACGACAAUCACGAGGGCCGACACAUCGUUUCGAAAAGCUAUCCCCGCGAGUGACCGCUUGGCGCUGACACUUAGGUUCCUAGCGGAAGGCAGUUCCGUGCGAGGCACGUCCUUCAACUUUUUGGUAGGCAGAUCCACCGCCAGCAAAAUCAUCUCCGACACAUGCGAGGCCAUAUGGGAGUGCUUAGCACAACAGUAUCUGUGGUUGCCGUCUACGUCCGAGGAGUGGAAAGAGAUUGCUAGAGAUAUGGAGGCGAAAUGGAAUUUCCCAAACUGCC